GCUCUCUCUCGCUCUAUCUCUCUGUCUCCACCAUUCAUUCACUCUCACCACCCUCCAUAACCACUAACCCCUCCAACCACUAACUGCAGUACACACACACACACACACACAACAAAUGUAAACACAUUCAAACCUUUACACACACACGGAUGCAAGUCCAUAUCUGCUUCUUCAGUCAAAAACAAACUUCCAGUCAAAUUGGGUUUUGUGGAUACGGAGGAAGGAGAGAAGAUGACUACGCUCAGAACAACAGUAGUAGUUUUACUGGGUUUCUACACCUUCUGCCAGGAGUCAAGAGCCUCAGUCCAAGGAGCCUCAGUCCCAGGAGCCUCAGUCCCAGGAGCCUCAGUCCUAGGCAGACCGUUGCUGUACGGCCCCUCAACAGCCCUAGAGAAGACUGUAGAAGAAUUCCAGUGUGAAGUUCUGCGUUACCCUAAAGAAGAGUCCAUCCUCUACCAGCUAUUCAGGGAAGGUGACCGGUCCAAGGCCUUAGGCUUCUACAGUGCUCUGUCUGGUGAGAUGGCCAAUUUCCCUCUGUACAUCACUGCUUCCUAUGAGGGCUACAUGGUGUGUGUAGCCAGCGUCCAGAACAACACAGUAAUACACCCCACCGUCAGUCCAAGACAUCACCUCAGAGUAGUCGACCCAGUCAACGGUGCAGAGGUUGUAGUCCAAUCAGGGUCUGUGGAGUUCUACGAAGGGAAGCCACUGUCCCUACGUUGUAACAUCGCCAAAGGGAACCACGUCUCCUACCAGUGGCUGGUGGAUGGGAAGCCCCUCCCCCUGUCUCCUUUACACAAUCAGACACAGGAACAACUCUUCAUCUACAGGAUGGUGCCCCAGGACAGCGGGGAGUACACCUGUGUUGCUACCAACCAACUCAACAUCACCAAGGUCUACUCCUCCAGGAGCACUGCCAAGGUCAUCAAGGUCAAAGAGCUCGUGUCUGAACCAGACCUCCUCUUCCUGGUACUGAAGGAAAGAGACGGGACCUACUUUGCCCUCGUCACGUGUCAAUCACUCACGGGGUCUCCGCCCAUCACCUUCUCCCUCUACAGCAGGUCAGAGUUCAUUAGCACAGAGACGGUUGACGAGCGAUCCGCCACGUUCUCUAUUCCAGUGGUUCUAGAUCUCCACAUGGGCUUUCUACAGUGUCAGGCGCAGAACGGAGACAGGGUGGUGUACGGUCAGUGGACGGCCAUGCACGUUGUUCCAGUAGGUGGAGCUGUGACGAUGCACUACGACAACGACGUGGGAGAAAAGUUCUCCAUUGUGGGCCUGAGGUUCUACUGUUCCGUGGAGAGGGGAACCUUUCCCCAGUACCGCUGGUUCCUCAACGGAACUGUUCUAGAAGGCCGUGGAGAGUUCUACUGGGUGGAGCAAUCCAUUUUGUUGUUAUCUGUGGGGAGGAGCAGUGCCGGAACGUACCAUUGUGAGGUGUCUGACAGCUUUGAUGGCACUACGGUGAUCAGCAGUGAGGCGAGGUACAUCGAUAAAGAAGUGUUGAACCACCUCCCUACCACGGUGGUGGCUGUUGUGUUCGGCUGUUUCCUCUUCCUAGUUACCUUGGUGACCACCUGUUGUUUCAUUGGUCUGCUGUACCAGAAAAGACAGUGUCUUGUUGAAAAGUCUAUGCUGGAUCUCAAGUUGGGUCUGGAGAUGCACAACAUAAUGGUGACUGAUGAUGAUGAUGAAGAGUUCCUUGCAUUAUGGUGGCCGAGAAUGAUAAAAAAGUUAUUGUGUGUGUGUGUGUGUGUGUGUGUGUGUGUGUGUGUGUGUGUGUGUGUGUGUGUGUGUGUGUGUGUGUGUGUGUGUGUGUGUGUGUGUGUGUGGAAAGAUAAUAAGUACAUACUUCACAUUCAAGUUCAUUUCGAACUUCCCCACAGAGUGUAACAUAUUCCCCUUUUCUCCCGACGAAGGAUGAAGAGGAAUACAUGGAGGAUGACGGAGUGGUGAGAGCAGCCAGGAUCGUUGACUCAGAUCAGGAGGAAGUAGAAUCGACAGACGAGUGGCUGCAGCUACUCCAGGAACUGAAGAACACCUUGGAGGAUGAAAUUCCACAAAAUAACUUUUGAAUUCUACAACCAUCUAAAAAGAAGCGAUUCCUACACAUUCCAUCACAAAGCCCUCCCCUACAGAGAGAUGAACCCAGAGCAGAGGUACCUCAGCCAGCUGGUUCUGGGGCUCUGUUCACAAACACAAACAGACUCCACAGAGUCCCAGAACAGCAACACAAUUAGACCCAACCAAGUUAUGAGGAAGCAAAAAGAUAACUAUGUGACAUACUGGAAAUAAUCACCCCAAAAAACUGAGCAAACUAGAAUGCUAUUUGGCCCUAAACAGAGAGUACACAGUGGCAGAUUACCUGACCACUGUGACUGACCCAAAAUGAUGUACAGACUCAGUGAGCAUAGCCUUGCUAUUGAGAAAGGUAGGCAGGCAGACCUGGCUCUC